AUACGGAGGGGGCUAGCGUUGUUCGGAAUUACUGGGCGUAAAGCGCACGUAGGCGGACUGGAAAGUCAGAGGUGAAAUCCCAGGGCUCAACCUUGGAACUGCCUUUGAAACUAUCAGUCUGGAGUUCGAGAGAGGUGAGUGGAAUUCCGAGUGUAGAGGUGAAAUUCGUAGAUAUUCGGAGGAACACCAGUGGCGAAGGCGGCUCACUGGCUCGAUACUGACGCUGAGGUGCGAAAGCGUGGGGAGC
rnacentral:rRNA from 1 species